UGUCUUAUUUUGGUCGUGAAUUUCCCGAAACCGGUCAAACCGGUCUAACAGAUGACUUCUUACCACAAACCCAUACGCCCCCUCCCCAAACAAUUACUCAUUGAUGAAACCCUACUCUACCGUUGCCUCAAACUACCUGCGAGACGAGGAAGACACCUUACUCCCACCUACUCUUUCCCGUUGCCAAAGUUUUACCUUUCCAUCAUUAUGCAACAGUUAGCUAGCUCAGCUGACUAAAAACGUGGUGAAUGGUUCAUGAUGUUGAUGGCCCUGAACGCCUCGAGGUGAUGAUGCCCCAGACCCGCAAAGCGCAACUUGACUGGCUAGCCUCCGCUGAGACUCCUCCCUUCACAUCCCCUUCCGCAAUACGAAUCAGCAAGGGAGUGAAGCAUGACCAUACAAAUAGGUUUGGCUCCAAAUAUAAAGAUUCAGAUGUUUAUUAAUUUAAAGUAAACUUUGGAAUUUCCCCUAGUACAUUUUCAGAAAGUAAUGUUACAUUGGGAACAGAUGUUGCAUGAAGUAUAAGGUAUCAAACUCAUUCUGUUUAUUUUGCAGAAUUACUUAGUGUAAACAAUAAUCUCAUAUUGAUGGCACUUUUCGGAGUAAUUGUAUAAUACAACAUAACAGUCUUUGAGAUGCAACCACAAGAGAUUAUACUUCACUUGAUUUAGUGCUUGGCAAUAAUUAACUGUAUUAGAAUCAUGAUAGUUUAAGGCACUCUGAAGAAAAGUCAUACAAAAGAUUGCUUUACCUGCUCAUUUCAACCCCAUCUGCUUGAUUAAACAUUGCUACAUCCGCAAACAAAAGACCCUGCAAAUCAAUAGGAAUGUGCUUUUUUUGUGGUCAAGUUGUAUAUAAUGGAAAAAUGCACAGUGUUUGCUCUUCAUAAGCUCAGGACCUCAGCUCCUUGUGAGGGAGUUGUGAUGUAGAAAGUUGGGGAUCCACUGUAUCGCCCAUGUAGAGAUAAAUAUACAGCUAGUGAAUUCAUUCAUUUGCUUUUGAGUUCAUUCAAAACACUGAAAACAGUAUUGGAAGGAUAAUAGUAAAGCCAUGACCAUAAUCCUACCUCAUACUUUAUAUGUUUCCUUUGGAUCUGCAAGUUACAGAUGCAUUGCGAGCUGAGUAGAUGGGGGAAGGAGGAAGGGGCUAGAGGUUGUUUUCCAACCGGGCAUCUUUCCUCUCCAUAUACUUAGAUAGACAUCACAUUAUUGCAUCUGGCCCAUUUUGGCAAUUGUUUGAGCAUGGGCAGCGCCAUUGAGGCCAUCUCCAUUUUUGAAGUAGUCCAUUUUCUUGUUCUUCUACUUCUAUGAGUUGGCAAACAAGCUGAAAGCGUGCAUACUGUCACCUAGAGCAUGUUGUGAACAGGUAUAAAGCCAAGGUUGACGAAUAUAAUUAAUUGGCUGAUCCCUCCUGAUGACCCGUAUGGAAUCAUGUGAUCCUUCCUUAACACAUAAGAAGUACCACCCAGUUGACUACUUAAAAAUUGUGAAAGUCCUCAGUGGUGCUGCCCAUGCUAAAACAGGUUUUUGGGCACUACAGUCCUCCUUGUUGCUCUCCCAUACUCAUCUUUUCCUCUCACAUAUUUCUUCCCUCCUUCCUCCAUUAAAAAAGUACACAUCUUAUCCCGCUUCCGCCUACCAGACAGGAGCUUGCACCAGUCUGACUGAUAGGGGUUCAGGGAGUAAUACCUUUCAUUUAGUGGUGUGUAUUAAAGUGUACUUGAUGUGCUGUAAACAACUCUACAGACUGGUCAGUUUGUUACACAGUUCUCUAACACAUUUUU